CCCGGGCGCUGGUUUUAAAGUCAGUCUCUGACUGGAUCUUGCAAAGGCUUCAACAAGCUUCCCCGCCGAAACUUCCAGCGGGCGCUGAUCUAUGGCUGGAAGGACCUGGGCUUGGUGGAGAUGGCUCGCUCUCCUGACGGCCCUCCUGCUGGUGGGUCUGCCGCGGUGGGGGAUGCUGCUAGUCUCAAGUAACGCCAUCCGCCAAUGCCGUCCUUGCUACGUGUUAGUGGAUCAUGAGUGUGUGGAGGACUGGUCCUGCUACACCACUACCGACUCUCGAAACCCCAGGGGCCUGUAGUGAUGGUGAGCAACAACUACCUUAGUGAUGGUGAACACCCGCUGCCUCAGUGAUACAGAAGAACAAUGGUGAACAAUUAAUGAUACAUGAAGGUCGUGAUCGAGAACAAGAACCAGCCUUUUCAGUGAUGAUUCGUAAACAAAAAAAACAAACAAACAAUUUGCCUCUCUUGUGAAGAGUACUAAUGUUUGUUUCAGGCAUUAUUGAGAUCAUGUUGUUUACUUUUUAAAUCAAUAAUGAGAUAAAAUUAUUGACAUUUUAAAUAACGACAAAUAUUACUGAAGACUGUUUACCACUGAAUUGAAACUAUUACAGUUAAUAAUUAUACUUUAACUUAAUGUUUAGCAUUUAAUACCAUUAUUUUUCUUUAAAUUAACUAUUUUAAUGUUUAGCACUAAAGUGAUACUAUAAGUAUUUAGCAAAUGAUAACUAUUAUCGAUGGGUAUUAGAACUGAAAUCAGACAGUUAAUCAUUUUAAUUAAGAUCAUUAUGUUAAGGGUUAAUAUUAUCAAUCAUUCUCCAUUAUAACAUUAGUAGUAUGAAUUUUACAUUUGAUAUCAACCCUAAGGUAAUAUUGUUAAUGUUAAUUUCUAUUGUUAUUAGUAUCAUUGUUAAUUUGUGUAUAAUAAAAUAAUUAUAUUGCAAAAUUUAAAUAUGUUUACUUCACAUAAAAAUGUUCCUCCUGUCUGGAUAUAUGAAAUUUAAAAGAAUGUUGGUACGAGAGAGAGAGAGAGAGAGAGAGAGAGAGAGAGAGAGAGAGAGAGAGAGAGAGAGAGAGAGAGAGAGAGAGAGAGAGAGAGAGAGAGAGAGAGAGAGAGAGUGUGUGUCCAACGGAGAGAGAGUGUCCAACGGUACAGCUUAGCAGUGUGAAAUAUUGACAAAUAGAAUAGUUAUCUAUUUACUUUGGGAAAGAGGCGCCUUUUAACAAAGCUUUUGACACUGGAAUGAUCGUCUGUGUGAUACUAUUACGGCCAGAGAAAGGAUAGCAGAAUAUUUAAAAUAAUUAAUUUAUGUUAAAAUUUCCAGAGAUUAAUAAAUAAUGCUAAAUAUUUC